rnacentral:tRNA from 1 species
UAAAAAAUAAGCUAAUAAAGCUAUAGGGUUCAUACCCCUCAUAUAAAGGUUUUAAUCCUUUUUUUUUAA